rnacentral:piRNA from 1 species
UAGUUUAAUUUUGUUUUGGUU